AGAGACCCCGCUUCCCGUCUUGGGGAGCGAGUCCCCGCCUCCCGGGGAAGCGACCCCGACCCCAGAGGACGAGCGGGAGCUGUGGGAAACAGGAGAAGCGUGUUCUGAGCAGAGAAGAUGAACGUGCAACGUCGCAGAGGCAAGGGUCCCAUCCAAGAGAGGCAAAGUCCUUCAAGCUGCAAAUCAGAAAUGAUGGGAAAGAGCCGGAAUCGCAUCUACACCCCAGCAAGAAAGACAGGGACCCUUGAAGGGUCUUCAAAUGGAAGAGUGGCCUCAUCCUCCUGCCUCGUGUGGAAAUGUUUGCCCAGGGAAGCGGUGUGGGCUGGAGAUACAGAAUCGAGUAUAUAACACUGAAUCAAGGGAAGUGGAUGAGGUCACCCCGGGAGAAGAAAAGAAGGCUUGGGAUGGAACAAGAAUGAACAUCACCAAGCAGAGGUUAAAUUCCAGGACACGCACUGCACAUUGCAUUUCCCCAAACCAGCAGAGGGUGUGUUGG